rnacentral:rRNA from 1 species
UACGGGGGGAGCAAGCGUUGUUCGGAUUUACUGGGCGUAAAGCGUGCGCAGGCGGUUUUGUAAGCCAGAUGUGAAAUCCCCGGGCUUAACCUGGGAAUGGCAUUUGGGACUGCAAGGCUCGAGUGCGGCAGAGGAGACUGGAAUUCCUGGUGUAGCGGUGAAAUGCGCAGAUAUCAGGAGGAACACCGGUGGCGAAGGCGGGUCUCUGGGCCGAUACUGACGCUGAGGAGCGAAAGCGUGGGGAGCAAACAGG